rnacentral:rRNA from 1 species
CCUACGGGCGGCUGCAGUGAGGAAUAUUGGUCAAUGGGCGAGAGCCUGAACCAGCCAAGCCGCGUGAAGGAUGACGGCCCUACGGGUUGUAAACUUCUUUUGUCAGGGAGCAAUUGGGUCCACGCGUGCGCUUAGCGAGAGUACCUGAAGAAAAAGAAUGGGCUAACUCCGUGCCAGCAGCCGCGGUAAUCCGGAGGAUGCGAGCGUUACCCGGAUUUAUUGGGUUUAAAGGUUGCGUAGGCGGAAGAUAAGGUCAGCGGUAAAAAUUCGGGGCUCAACCCCGGCGUGCCGUUGAAACUGGUGUUCUGGAGUGGGCGAGAAGUAUGCGGAAUGCGUGGUGUAGCGGUGAAAUGCAUAGAUAUCACGCAGAACUCCGAUUGCGAAGGCAGCAUACCGGCGCCCAACUGACGCUGAGGCACGAAAGCGUGGGUAGCGAACAGGAUUAGAUACCCUAGUAGUC